rnacentral:misc_RNA from 1 species
UUUCCGUAGGUGAACCUGCGGAAGGAUCAUUACUGUAUAACCAAUGUGCGAGGGCUGUCCCUGACCCGCGAGGCUGUCCAUGUCUGAGUGCCUUCACACACAUCCAUCUCCCCCCUAUGCGCACCCCCGCGUGGCUCCCCCUUUGGCUCUGUAGGAGGGGGGCUUACGUUUUAACAAAAACUUUGUAUGCAGUGAAGACUGUAUUUUAUGUUUUUGCUAUCACGCACACCAUACAACUAUCAACAACGGCUCUCUUGGCUCCCGCAUCGCUGAAGAAAG